rnacentral:rRNA from 1 species
AGUGGGUAGUCCGUAACGAGCGCAACCCCCUAUCCCUGAUAUGCUAGCAGUUCGGCUGAGAACUCUAGGCCCGACUGCCGGAUGACAAACCGGAGGAAGGUGGGGAUGACGUCAGGUCAUCAUGGCCCUUAUGGGGAGGGCUACACACGUGCUACAAUGGCCGGUACAGAGGGCUGCGAAGCCGCGAGGUGGAGCGAAUCUCAGAAAACCGGUCGUAGUCCGGAUUGCAGUCUGCAACUCGACUGCAUGAAGCCGGAAUCGCUAGUAAUCGCGGAUCAGAACGCCGCGGUGAAUACGUUCCCGGGCCUUGUACACACCGCCCGUCACACCAUGGGAGUGGGCUGUACCAGAAGUAGGUAGUCUAACCUUCGGGAGGACGCUUACCACGGUGUGGUUCAUGACUGGGGUGAAGUCGUAACAAGGUAGCCCUAGGGGAACCUGGGGCUGGAUCACCUCCUUU